GCUGGGCCGGGUGCGUGCUAUCGCUCAGUCGUGCCGAGUGCUCCCAAGGUAUCGGACUUGUCGUCGUCAAGGUUAUAUAUAAAAUUGAAAAAAGUUUGUUCACUUCAUCAAGAUUCUAGUGUGUGCAGAGAUCGACUGAUGUGGAAGUUCUCAUAACUCUGGCGCCUCCAUUGUGUAACUUCCUGCCCUGGAAGCCUUGUCAUUCCACCGUGUUAUCUCUAGCCAAAUGAAGCUCAUUCUGGAGAGCUGAAUAGUGAAGUGGUGUUAUAUAGCAGGAGGAAAGAGAUAGAGAGAGGCACCUGUGUUUACGUGGAGUAAUUAAAGGCCUUAGUGAGUGUGCGUUACAGUGUGAAGAUGGACUAAUGUGGAACGCAUCGCUGCUCUGCCACUGCAAUUGUGCAACUCGCAACAAAACCGAAAGUGCCACGUUGAAUAGUGAAAAUUAAUGAGGUGAAUUGGAAAGAAAAAAAUGUAUUGGCAUUACUUGAAGUGAUUUUUUUUAACCUAAGUGCUCUGAGAAUGGAACUUAUCAUUCACAAGACAACACAACUGGAUUUUACGGCGUCGCUACGGAUAUGAAAGAGACUGCAGCCAAGAGUUCUGUCGAUCACGCCAGGAACCGGAAGGCCUGGUCUAGGACCGGGACGCGGGGGCGGUGAUCCUCCUAAGCGACUACAAGGUAACUUACAGGAGC